UCCAAGGAUGACAGCUGCUUGGUUGAACCUUGAAAGACACGUAGAAAUUGGUCCGGCUGAUAUGUGAGGGGAAGGUGUUCCAACAGAGAGGACAGCAGGUGACUCUCCAUUGACCAUGCCACACCUAAGGGCAUGGUCAAACAAAAGGUUUCAACAGAGUCAGGACAUUCUUCCCUCAGACUGGUUUUUAGGAACUUCAGUAUGGAUUGUUUAGGUCUCUGACACAUGCAGCUUUCUUCUUUCUAAAGGUAGCUCUUCUUCCUUUCUUUCAUAGGCUCUGACUGUGAAACCUCGUUCUUGGAGUCUCAGUGAAUUCUACUUAAUAAGAAAGGACCCAGAAAAGUUAUAUUUCUAAUAAAUAAAGAGAAUGAAAGCAUGGGAAAGACAGAAGAAACUGAGACCCAGCAAAGCCUCACUCAUGUCCAGACACUCCAGAGAGUGAGGUACCAGGUUCAGUAAAGCCAAGGCCCAAAUCCCAAAAGAAAGACUUAUGGGCAGGAAAAGCAGAGAAGUAGCUGACCAAGGCAGCAACCCUUACCCAGACCUCAAAUCAGCAGUGAACACGGAAACUGGAUCAAGACAAGAAGGGGAAUAGUGGUUCAAGAAGAAACAGCUGGAGUGUGCAGUGCUAUCAUUAAGGACCCCUGGGCUAACCCAGAAGUGCUCAACGGGAGGUAAUCAAUGAGUCCUGGAAUAAUUCUCUAAGCCAAGGAAAAAAACAAGACAGUGGCUUUUUAGUAUAUUGUUAAGGCCUAAAAGUGCCUGUUGGGAUUCCGUGCUUCAUCUCUUAACUGAUGACUCUUACCCAUUCUCUCAGUAAUUACGUAUAAAACAUAGAAAGUACGGAGUUCAGGAAAUAUUCAGUUACCGCCCAAUUAAAACACCUCAAGUCUUGGCCUUCGAAAAUGGUUUGUGUUAUCUCUACAUAUUCUUUUGUUUGUUUGUUUAGGUCUGGUGCUCCUUUGAAAAGGAGCUCAGCUAGUGGAGAUAUAUUUGAUAUAUAAUUUCCUCAGUACAAUCAAAGAUUGUGGUGAUUUGCUUAAUAUUCGCAUAGAAACGUAGAGUGUUAUUUUGAGG
rnacentral:lncRNA from 12 species